UCUAAGCAACAAUCCAACGUUAUCUCCAGCCAUUGCUUCAUCAAGAAUCUUCUGAAACAUUUCAACUCCUGUAACUGUGUAGUUCCUCGUCUCUCUCAAUCCAACCAAGUCUACUGUCUCUCCUACUUUCACUGUACCUCUCUCGACACGGCCGGUGGCUACAGUGCCACGGCCCGUGAUCGAGAACACGUCUUCAACAGCUAGCAAGAACGGCAAAUCCGUCUGCCUCGUCGGAAUCGGAAUGUAACUAUCAACGGAAUCCAUCAGAUCGUAGAUUUUAUCAACCCAUUUGUUCUCACCUCUCUUCACAUUCGGAUUCGCAGUGAGAGUUUCAACAGCUAACAAAGCAGAGCCAGAGAUAAUCGGGAUAUCAUCACCGUUGAAUUCGUAGGAAGAGAGAAGCUCACGAACCUCGAGCUCAACGAGCUCUAGAAGCUCUGCGUCAUCGACUUGAUCCUCUUUGUUCAAGAAGACGACCAUAUCGGGAACACCGACCUGCUUCGCCAGAAGAAUAUGCUCUUUCGUCUGAGGCAUAGGACCAUCGGCGCCGGAAACGACGAGGAUAGCUCCGUCCAUCUGAGCAGCUCCGGUGAUCAUGUUCUUAACGUAAUCGGCGUGUCCAGGACAAUCGACGUGAGCGUAAUGGCGAUUCUCCGUCUCGUACUCGACCGUCGCGGUGUUGAUUGUGAUCCCGCGAGCUCUCUCCUCCGGAGCCGCGUCGAUCUCGUCGUACUUCUUCGCGACGCUGCUUCCGAUUGAAGCUAAGGCCAUGGUUAGAGCGGCGGUUAAAGUGGUUUUCCCAUGGUCGACGUGGCCGAUUGUGCCGAUGUUGACGUGAGGCUUCUUCCGCUCGAAUUUUCCUCUGGCGGCGCGUACGGUGAACGCGCGACGGAGACGGUGAGUGGGAGAGGAGGUGGUGACGGAGAGGGAUGUGAUUGAAGGGAGGAAGGAGGAGGAGAGGGUAAGGGAUUUUGGUUUACAGGAGGUGGAAAUGGCGGGAGCAGGGGAGGAAGAAGAUGGAGAAGCGUAGGAAUAGAGGAGUCUCGAAGAAGAGGAAGUAGC
rnacentral:lncRNA from 1 species